rnacentral:lncRNA from 1 species
AAACAGUCCCGCACUCUAACAGUAGUACCACUUCUUUAAUGUUCCAUUUUAAGGUGAUUGUAAUAAUAGCCCUUCAAUUAAAAACUGUUUCAGUACUAGCAUCUGCUUUAUUAGAGCAGUGAUUUUAUUAAACUAAUAACUGUUAGCAUGAAGACACCAUUACUGUAAUUGUAUUUGUAAUUAUGACAGUAAAUAUACUCAGGUCAUAUAUAAUUAUUAGAAAUGUUACCCUAAUCAUUUACCUCUCCCACAACUUUCUUCCUGUCAUACAGUCUGAAUUUGUGUCAGUGUUGGCCAGCCUUCAAAUGUUGCUGUUUUCCUGUGUCCCAUAGAGUUAUGCAAAUUGAUGCAUGCUCUGUCCAGAAACUUAUAUCACCCCUUUAAAGAGUAGUUAAUUAGAACUUCCUUCCCAAUUUCUACUUCCCCCAGCGUGGAUCAAGUCAGUGUUUAGGGCUUCAAUCAGAAAUAACUUACUGUCUAGCUGGGCAUGUCUUUGGCUUUGAGGGAGGCACCAUAUAAAGAAAUGUCUUUAUAGAAAAUGCACAUAUUAAGUGUCAA